rnacentral:rRNA from 1 species
CCUACGGGAGGCAGCAGUGGGGAAUAUUGGACAAUGGGGGCAACCCUGAUCCAGCGAUGCCGCGUGUGUGAAGAAGGCCUGCGGGUUGUAAAGCACUUUAGUUGGGGAGGAGGAGAUGCGUGUUAAUAGUACGCAUUGAAGACGUUACCCAAAGAAUAAGCACCGGCUAACUCUGUGCCAGCAGCCGCGGUAAUACAGAGGGUGCAAGCGUUAAUCGGAAUUACUGGGCGUAAAGGGCGCGUAGGCGGUUACGUAAGUCAGUUGUGAAAUCCCCGAGCUUAACUUGGGAGUUGCAAUUGAAACUAUGUGACUAGAGUAGAGUAGAGGGGAGAGGAAUUUCCGGUGUAGCGGUGAAAUGCGUAGAUAUCGGAAGGAACACCAGUGGCGAAGGCGUCUCUCUGGACUCAUACUGACGCUGAUGCGCGAAAGUGUGGGUAGCGAACAGGAUUAGAUACCCUGGUAGUCCACGCCGUAAACGAUGGAAGCUAGCCGUCGGGCGGUAUACCGUUCGGUGGCGCAGCUAACGCAUUAAGCUUCCCGCCUGGGGAGUACGGUCGCAAGAUUAAAACUCAAAGGAAUUGACGG